rnacentral:rRNA from 1 species
AGCAGCCGCGGUAAUUCCAGCUCCAAUAGCGUAUAUUAAAGUUGCUGCAGUUAAAAAGCUCGUAGUUGAAUUUCGGGAUCAAUGCGUCGGUCGUGCUUUCGGGUACGUACUGGUGUCAUUGGUUUCUCCUUUCUGACGAGCCGUGAUGUCAUUAAUUUGGUGUUACGGGUAGUUAGGACUGUUACUUUGAAAAAAUUAGAGUGUUUAAAGCAAGCUAACGCUUGAAUACAUUAGCAUGGAAUAAUGGAAUAGGACGUUCGAUCCUAUUUUGUUGGUUUCUAGGAUUGACGUAAUGAUUAAUAGGGAUAGUUGGGGGCAUUAGUAUUCAAUUGUCAGAGGUGAAAUUCUUGGAUUUAUUGAAGACUAACUACUGCGAAAGCAUUUGCCAAGGAUAUUUUCAUUAAUCAAGAACGAAAGUUAGGGGAUCGAAGACGAUCAGAUACCGUCGUAGUCUUAACCAUAAACUAUGCCGACUAGGGAUCGGAUGAUGUUAAUUUUUUAAUGACUCAUUCGGCGCCUUACG